GCUCGGGUGGCGGAACUGGCAGACGCGCAGGGUUCAGGACCCUGUGGGACUUGUAAUCCCGUGGGGGUUCGAAUCCCCCCCCGAGCA
rnacentral:tRNA from 1 species